rnacentral:rRNA from 1 species
CACACUAUCAUUAACUGAAUCCAUAGGUUAAUGAGGCGAACCGGGGGAACUGAAACAUCUAAGUACCCCGAGGAAAAGAAAUCAACCGAGAUUCCCCCAGUAGCGGCGAGCGAACGGGGAGGAGCCCAGAGCCUGAAUCAGUGUGUGUGUUAGUGGAAGCGUCUGGAAAGGCGCGCGAUACAGGGUGACAGCCCCGUACACAAAAAUGCACAUACUGUGAGCUCGAUGAGUAGGGCGGGACACGUGGUAUCCUGUCUGAAUAUGGGGGGACCAUCCUCCAAGGCUAAAUACUCCUGACUGACCGAUAGUGAACCAGUACCGUGAGGGAAAGGCGAAAAGAAC